UACGUAGGGUGCGAGCGUUGUCCGGAAUUAUUGGGCGUAAAGAGCUUGUAGGUGGUUUGUCGCGUCUGCUGUGAAAAUCCGAGGCUCAACCUCGGACUUGCAGUGGGUACGGGCAGACUAGAGUGUGGUAGGGGAGACUGGAAUUCCUGGUGAUAGCGGUGGAAUGCGCAGAUAUCAGGAGGAACACCGAUGGCGAAGGCAGGUCUCU
rnacentral:rRNA from 1 species